UUGGAGGGCAAGUCUGGUGCCAGCAGCCGCGGUAAUUCCAGCUCCAAUAGCGUAUAUUAAAGUUGUUGCAGUUAAAAAGCUCGUAGUUGAAUUUCGGGAUCAGAUUGUCGGUCGUGCCUCGGUACGUACUGGCAUUAUUGGUUCCUACCUUCUGAAGAACCGCGAUGUCAUUAAUUUGGUGUCGUGGGGAAUCAGGACUGUUACUUUGAAAAAAUUAGAGUGUUUAAAGCAGGC
rnacentral:rRNA from 1 species